rnacentral:rRNA from 1 species
GUGCCAGCAGCCGCGGUAAUACAGAGGUCCCAAGCGUUGUUCGGAUUCACUGGGCGUAAAGGGUGCGUAGGUGGCUGGGUAAGUCUGAUGUGAAAUCUCCAAGCUUAACUUGGAAACUGCAUCGGAUACUAUCCGGCUCGAGGAUCGGAGGGGAGACUGGAAUACUUGGUGUAGCAGUGAAAUGCGUAGAUAUCAAGUGGAACACCAGUGGCGAAGGCGAGUCUCUGGACGAUUCCUGACACUGAGGCACGAAAGCCAGGGGAGCAAACGGGAUUAGAAACCCCAGUAGUCC